AGAGUUUGAUCCUGGCUCAGGAUGAACGCUGGCGGUAUGCUUAACACAUGCAAGUCGAACGGGGGGAGACCUUUAGGGGUUGAACCUAGUGGCGGACGGGUGAGUAACGCGUGAGAACCUGCCUUCAAGACUGGAACAACAGUUGGAAACGACUGCUAAUACCCGAUAAGCCGAAAGGUGAAAGAUUUAUCGCUUGGAGAGGGGCUUGCGUCUGAUUAGCUAGUUGGUGGGGUAAAUGCCUACCAAGGCGACGAUCAGUAGCUGGUCUGAGAGGAUGAGCAGCCACACUGGGACUGAGACACGGUCCAGACUCCUACGGGAGGCAGCAGUGGGGAAUAUUGCACAAUGGGCGCAAGCCUGAUGCAGCCAUGCCGCGUGUGUGAAGAAGGCCUGCGGGUUGUAAAGCACUUUCAGCGGGGAAGAAAAGCGGAUGGUCAAUACCCAUUCGUCUUGACGUUACUCGCAGAAGAAGCACCGGCUAACUCCGUGCCAGCAGCCGCGGUAAUACGGAGGGUGCGAGCGUUAAUCGGAAUUACUGGGCGUAAAGCGCGCGUAGGCGGCGCGAUCAGUCUGCCGUGAAAUCCCCGGGCUCAACCUGGGAAUGGCGGUGGAUACUGUCGAGCUAGAGUGUGAGAGAGGGGGGUGGAAUUCCAGGUGUAGCGGUGAAAUGCGUAGAGAUCUGGAGGAACACCAGUGGCGAAGGCGGCCCCCUGGUUCAACACUGACGCUGAGGUGCGAAAGCGUGGGUAGCAAACAGGAUUAGAUACCCUGGUAGUC
rnacentral:rRNA from 1 species